rnacentral:tRNA from 1 species
AGCAUGUUAGCUCAGGGGAAGAGCGCCGGGCUCAUAACCCGGAGGUAAGCUUAUCCUUCUCUCUCUGAUCAAGAUUAGUUGUCUAACAGAUAAUAGGUCCCUGGAUCGAAACCAGGACAUGCUA